UACGGAGGGUGCGAGCGUUGUCCGGAAUCACUGGGCGUAAAGGGCGCGUAGGCGGCGCGGGGAGUCAACGGUGAAAGCUCGGCGCUCAACGCCGAGUCGGCCGUCGAUACUCCCCGUGCUCGAGCACUGUAGAGGCAGGUGGAAUUCCGGGUGUAGCGGUGGAAUGGCGUAGAGAUCCGGAAGAACACCGGUGGCGAAGGGCGGCUGACUCUGGGACGGUACUGGACGGCGUGAGACGCGAAAGCGUGGGGAAG
rnacentral:rRNA from 1 species